AGCAGCCGCGGUAAUUCCAGCUCCAAUAGCGUAUAUUAAAGUUGUUGCAGUUAAAAAGCUCGUAGUUGAAUUUCGGGGUCAGUAGGCUGGUCAUGCCACUGGUAUGUACUGGUCUUACUGAUUCCUCCUUCCUGACGAACCGUAAUGCCAUUAAUUUGGUGUUGCGGGGAAUUUGGACUGUUACUUUGAAAAAAUUAGAGUGUUUAAAGCAGGCUAACGCUUGAAUACAUUAGCAUGGAAUAAUGGAAUAGGACGUUCGAUCCUAUUUUUGUUGGUUUCUAGGAUUGACGUAAUGAUUAAUAGGGAUAGUUGGGGGCAUUAGUAUUCAAUUGUCAGAGGUGAAAUUCUUGGAUUUAUUGAAGACUAACUACUGCGAAAGCAUUUGCCAAGGAUGUUUUCAUUAAUCAAGAACGAAAGUUAGGGGAUCGAAGACGAUCAGAUACCGUCGUAGUCUUAACCAUAAACUAUGCCGACUAGGGAUCGGAUGAUGUUAAUUUUUAAUGACUCAUUCGGCGCCUUA
rnacentral:rRNA from 1 species